rnacentral:rRNA from 1 species
GACGUAGGGCGCGAGCGUUGUCCGGAUUUAUUGGGCGUAAAGAGCGUGUAGGCGGCCAGGUAGGUCUGCUGUGAAAACUCGAGGCUUAACCUCGAGACGUCGGUUGAAACCACCUGGCUAGAGUCCGGAAGAGGAGAGUGGAAUUCCCGGUGUAGCGGUGAAAUGCGCAGAUAUCGGGAAGAACACCCGUGGCGAAGGCGGCUCUCUGGGACGGUACUGACGCUGAGACGCGAAAGCGUGGGGAGCGAACAGG